CUUACUGUAGAAACAAAAAACAUCUCAAAACUCAAUCUGAACAACACAUUUUUGAGUAGGAGUUCCUAUGAUUUGUUGGUCGUUUCUACAAGCGAGUGUUCGAGAUGAUGGUGAGUUCUGGGAUCCUGGUAACAGGUCUGUCGUCCAGCUUCAAUUCUACAGCCUGAAUUUUUGUAGUGUGGUUAUGGUACCCACUACCGCAGGCUGGCUCUCGAAGUAGUUUGUUCAUCUGUGAGACGCCAUAAGAAUGGACGAGUGUGCAUGGAGUACGAGAGACGCCAUUCAUUUCCCCAAAUCCAGAUGAUCUGCAUCCCCUUGCGGAGGUGAAUUGCUGGAUAAGUCGCAAUGGUGGCCUCUGUUUGCGCCCCUUGUGGCCUGCGGUACUUGGAGUUCGCUGCGAAGUGCUGGCUCCAGGUAGAAGUUGCAGUGGACGGCAGUCACUCCUUUGCAGGAUAGUUUGAUUUCAUGACAUCGCGUUGAGGGGAUCCAGGUGUUUGCUUUGACUUCCCUACCACAUUCAGAUUCACAAAGCUGGUCAUCAAACUGAAGUUCAACUGAUACAGCGGCAGUAUGUUGAUUCUUGUGUAUAAUAAUUGUAGUCACUGAUUGUAUGAUCGAUGUCUUGCUUUUUGGGGAUUGAUCACCGACUAGCCAAGCCGCCCGGUCAAACGAGGAAACUUGAAUCCCACAUGGGCAACCUGGUCAACAGGCAUGAUGUAGUCGCCCAUUAACAUCACCCCUGACAUUGUAGUUACCAGUGACGUAGAUAUGAUUUAUUGCGUCUCCGCCAUCCCUGCCAACACGUCGAAGAAUUGUUUUCUUGUCAAGUUUGAUAUAGUUCAUUAUAAGUGGGAGAUUAGUCGAAGCGGACGAAAUCAACUGAUUCUACCCGGGAGACAAUGCUUAUUAUAUUAGUUUUUCUUCGAUGUUUUUAUUUAUUUAUUUAUUGAUACUGCUGACUUUAAGAGUGACAAUGAAGCCGACCCUCAGCGGGGUAUCGUAUGAGAAGAAACAGCUGCAUUUCUACGACCCAAGCAAGCACACGUUUCCACAUGGCACUGCAUGAAACGACACAUUUACAAAACUACACGUAAGAUUACAUAUCCCCCAUACAGCAGGUUAUCUACCACGGCAAAGUUUGACUCAUUCCUGCCCCCUGACUGAACAUAGAAUCAAUCUCUAAAAUCACCACCCAUCUCCACCACUGUAAGGGAUUUGAAUAAGUUGAUUGCUACACACCGACAAGUUCCUCUUCAACAUGGACCACGCAGUUUUGGGUUGAAGGAUGACCUUGUGUUCAUAUCUGCAAGUCAUAAGAUGGGCUUCCUUUCCACGACCAGACAGGGUCAUUUGAAAUCCACCUUAUGGUUGCACAGAUUAUCAACAACCUACCAGCUUAACAAAAACAAGUGCCCGCUUGCAUACGUCAACCACCGUUUCCUGCCAUAUGGGAGCUCAAAGCACGGCCCAUGCAGUUAACUCACGGGAGGGAGAUUGUGCACACCUGCAGGAAGGUGAAACUCCGACGACAAGAAACCAGUCGGCUUCUGGGUUUGAUGGCUUUGUGACCUCCAACAGAGAUUACGAAGAAGGAGGUCGACAGAUGGAGCAUGAUUCAGUAAAGAAUUCAGUGUUGUGCACAAAAAGUUAUUUGCCAGUGUCAGUGAUAAGGAGAUUUUGUGACGACAAUUCCAAACCUCUUCUCAACAUAGUACCACUUUUGAUUGGUUGGGUAAUUGACCAUGUCAUUGGUUUUCCACCAAGUGUGAAGAGGUAAUGUCACGUUGAUCUCUAAAAAAUAUUCAGCAAAUCCCUAAUCAGCAUUAAUAUACUUCUUCGUGCUAGAC